CCAGUAAGGGCGACUGAACGGGGAGGAGCCCAGCGCGGAACCUCGCGCGCCUGACCGGCUGCGUCUGAGGGAUGUCGCGUUUCGGAGGGGCCUUCUCCGACCACACCGACCCCCCCCAAGUCCGCUUGAACGCGGCCACUACCCAUGGAGGGUGCGAGGCCCGUACGGGGAUUAGGAGUCGGGCGGUCGGACGGCCCCGUCCGUAGAGUCGGGUUGCCUACUAACGCAGCCCAAAGUAGGUGGUAAACU
rnacentral:rRNA from 1 species